UACAGAGGUAGCAAGCGUUGUUCGGAAUUACUGGGCGUAAAGGGCGCGUAGGCGGCCUUCUAAGUCAGACGUGAAAUCCCCCGGCUUAACCUGGGAACUGCGUCUGAUACUGGGAGGCUUGAGUAUGGGAGAGGGAUGUAGAAUUCCAGGUGUAGCGGUGAAAUGCGUAGAUAUCUGGAGGAAUACCGGUGGCGAAGGCGGCAUCCUGGGCCAUAACUGACGCUGAGGCGCGAAAGCUGGGGGAGCAAACGGG
rnacentral:rRNA from 1 species